GUUGUUUUGGCAGAUUAGUGUGAUUGAUUUAGGAUCUUUAAAUGUAUAUUUUACAAACAAUA
rnacentral:tRNA from 1 species